GCCCCUGUAGCUCAGACUGGCUGGAGCGGCUGACUUGUAAUCAGCAGGUCGAGGGUUCAAAUCCCUCCGGGGGCU
rnacentral:tRNA from 2 species